GACGAACGCUGGCGGCGUGCUUAACACAUGCAAGUCGAACGCUGAAGCUCAGCUUUUGUUGGGUGGAUGAGUGGCGAACGGGUGAGUAACACGUGAGUAACCUGCCCCCUUCUUUGGGAUAACGCCCGGAAACGGGUGCUAAUACUGGAUAUUCACUGGUCUUCGCAUGGGGUUGGUGGAAAGGGUUUUUCUGGUGGGGAAUGGGCUCGCGGCCUAUCAGCUUGUUGGUGGGGUGAUGGCCUACCAAGGCUUUGACGGGUAGCCGGCCUGAGAGGGUGACCGGUCACAUUGGGACUGAGAUACGGCCCAGACUCCUACGGGAGGCAGCAGUGGGGAAUAUUGCACAAUGGGCGCAAGCCUGAUGCAGCGACGCCGCGCGAGGGAUGGAGGCCUUCGGGUUGUGAACCUCUUUCGCUCAUGGUCAAGCCGCAACAAUGGUUGUGGUGAGGGUAGUGGGUAAAGAAGCGCCGGCUAACUACGUG
rnacentral:rRNA from 1 species